CUGAUACUCUCUCCGUCCGAAAAUACUUAUCCUAAAAAUGGUUAUAUCUAGAUUUAUUUUAAUUAUAGAUAUAUUCGUUUUAUCCUUUUUAGAAAGUAUUUCCGGACGGAGGGAGCAAUGC
rnacentral:pre_miRNA from 1 species